CAUGUCUUUUUGAUUAUAAUUUAAGGUUUAAUCUGCUCAAUGAUUUAUUAAAUUGCCGCAGUAUUUUGACUGUGCAAAGGUAGCAUAAUAAUUAGCUUUUUUAUUGAAAGCUGGAAUGAAUGAUUGGACGAGAAAAUUUCUGUCUCUUUAUUAUUUUUAUUUAAUUUAACUUCUAAGUUAAAAGGCUUAAAUUUAUUUAAAAGACGAGAAGACCCUAUAGAGUUUUAUUUUUAUUUUAUAAAUUAUUAUUAGAAUUUAAAAUAUAUUAUAAAAUAAAAAAUUUAGUUGGGGUGACUAAAAGAUUUAUAUAACUCUUUUAAUUUAAAAUCAUUUAUUUAUGAAUACAAAAUCUAUUUUUAUAAAUUUAAAAUAAAUUACCUUAGGGAUAACAGCGUUAUUUUUCUUUAGAGUUCUUAUUAAAAGGAAAGAUUGCGACCUCGAUGUUGGAUUAAAAUUUAUUUUAGGUGUAGAAGCUUAAUAAUUGAGUCUGUUCGACUUUUAAAAUUUUACAUGAUCUGAGU
rnacentral:rRNA from 1 species